rnacentral:misc_RNA from 1 species
CACCACGUCCUCCAUAUGCCAG